UAAGAUGAUUUGUCUGGGAGACUAUAAUUAAGGAUGAUAGUCCAGGUUUCACCUUAAGUCUGUGGCAAAGCUAUUGGAGUGAAUACAUUUUGAUGUAAGUGCAAUAACUUCAUUCCUCGACAUUUCUUUUGGGAGGCAGAUGGCCUUGAUGCCGUAGCAUGAGUUGGUGUUGGCCAUAUGCCCAUACGUAGUAAGAUAUAUUGAGAUUCAGAUAUCUUGGCAUUGGCAACGCCAACUGGUUGGUGAUACUUCAUGUGAGGUUGAUGAGGCAACACGAGGAGUUUGAUAUUCUACUGGAUGCUCAACUAUUGGAAAGCCAGUGCAACCGUCAACAGAUUUAAUUUAUGUUCUCUUGCUCCAAUAAGGGUUCGUGUCAAGAUUGAUUUUGGGGGACCUGCGUGGGAUGCUCAACUCUGGCUUGAGCCUCUGAAGAUGUUCCCCACAACCUGAAGAUGUGAACUACGCUGCUGCUCCUGGUAUGUGUGUUGCUUCCGCUGGAUGAUGCCCUGUUGCCGCUGUUGCCUCAGCCCUCUAACUGUCGUCUUCUUCCCUUCUCUUGCUGCUUGAUGAAGUUGCUCAUGCUGCUAGCUUUGCAUGCUAUGGAGUUUUUGUCCCUACCUACGAUAAAUUCAGUAUUGAUCUACACAUGUGUUUGUACAAAGUUCCAAGACCUGGCUGGUGAUAUAGUUUUGACUUCUAAUGAUUUGAUUAUGUAUGCCUUUUUUUGGAGAUAUAUGUAUGUCAGUAUGCAUUAUUAAGUAUAUACUGGGCAUAGAAGGGGGUGUAUUGUAUCUCAGUGUGUAACAUCAUAUUUUAACCGAAUAUUUUAUUCAAUCUGAAUUUAGAUCUUUUACUUAG